AUGGAAGGCAGAAGAGAAUAAAGGCAUUAGAGAAUAACAGGUCCUAAUCCAGCUGGGACAACAUAUAUCUUUAGCAAAGGUGGUGGACAAAUCACGUAUA
rnacentral:sRNA from 1 species